GCACCGACCAGGCCCAUGGGGCCAGCACGUGCAGCCGCAGAAACACGAGGCCCUGGGGCGGCAGAGAGCUACGCCGGGCGGCUGGUCUGCAGACUUCCUGGAGGGCCACCCCAAGCCCGGGCACCUGAUACCCUGCCCGGACCCUCCCAGGAGCGAGACCCUUGUGGUCACACGGCCUCCUCUCUUGCAGCCUCCACCACGGCCCCAUCGGUGUUCCCACUGGCCCCCAGCUGCGGGACCACAUCUGGCGCCACCGUGGCCCUGGCCUGCCUGGUGUUAGGCUACUUCCCUGAGCCGGUGACCGUGUCCUGGAACUCCGGCGCCCUGACCAGCGGUGUGCACACCUUCCCGUCCGUCCUGCAGGCCUCGGGGCUCUACUCUCUCAGCAGCAUGGUGACAGUGCCCUCCAGCAGGUGGCUCAGUGAGACCUUCACCUGCAACGUGGCCCACCCGCCCAGCAGCACCAAGGUGGACAAGACCGUGCACCCACCCUGCAAGUGUCCCAAAUGCCCAGUUCCUGAGAUUCCUGGAGCACCGUCCGUCUUCAUCUUCCCCCCAAAACCCAAGGACACCCUCUCGAUUUCCCGGACGCCCGAGGUCACGUGCUUGGUGGUGGACUUGGGCCCAGAUGACUCCAAUGUCCAGAUCACAUGGUUUGUGGAUAACACCGAGAUGCACACAGCCAAGACGAGGCCGCGUGAGGAGCAGUUCAACAGCACCUACCGUGUGGUCAGUGUUCUCCCCAUCCUGCACCAGGACUGGCUCAAGGGGAAGGAGUUCAAGUGCAAGGUCAACAGCAAAUCCCUCCCCUCCCCCAUCGAGAGGACCAUCUCCAAGGACAAAGGACAGCCCCACGAGCCCCAGGUGUACGUCCUGCCUCCAGCCCAGGAGGAGCUCAGCAGGAACAAAGUCAGUGUGACCUGCCUGAUCGAAGACUUCUACCCGCCUGACAUUGCCGUCGAGUGGGAGAUCACCGGACAGCCGGAGCCAGAGAACAACUACCGGACGACCCCGCCCCAGCUGGACAGCGACGGGACCUACUUCCUGUACAGCAGGCUCUCGGUGGACAGGUCCCGCUGGCAGAGGGGAAACACCUACACCUGCUCGGUGUCACACGAAGCUCUGCACAGCCACCACACACAGAAAUCCCUCACCCAGUCUCCGGGUAAAUGAGCAGCGCGCCCGGCCCCCCCAGCAGGCCCCCGCGGGCUCUGAGCGCCCACCCCUGUGUACAUCCCCCCACCCCGGGCAGGCACCCUGCGUGAAAUAAAGCACCCAGCACUGCCCUGGGACCUGUGACA